UGGAUCCACACUUUGAUCCUGGCUCAGGAUGAACGCUAGCUACAGGCUUAACACAUGCAAGUCGAGGGGCAGCAUGAGGUCAGCUUGCUGACUUUGAUGGCGACCGGCGCACGGGUGAGUAACGCGUAUCCAACCUUCCCGCGACUGGGGGAUAACCUUGCGAAAGUAAGACUAAUACCCCAUGGUUUCCGAGGCGGACAUCCAAUUUGGAAUAAAGAUUCAUCAGUUGUGGAUGGGGAUGCGUCUGAUUAGCUUGUUGGCGGGGUAACGGCCCACCAAGGCGACGAUCAGUAGGGGUUCUGAGAGGAAGGUCCCCCACAUUGGAACUGAGACACGGUCCAAACUCCUACGGGAGGCAGCAGUGAGGAAUAUUGGUCAAUGGACGAGAGUCUGAACCAGCCAAGUAGCGUGCAGGAUGACGGCCCUAUGGGUUGUAAACUGCUUUUAUACGGGAAUAAAGUGGCUCACGUGUGGGUUUUUGUAUGUACCGUAUGAAUAAGGACCGGCUAAUUCCGUGCCAGCAGCCGCGGUAAUACGGAAGGUCCGGGCGUUAUCCGGAUUUAUUGGGUUUAAAGGGAGCGUAGGCCGCCGAUUAAGCGUGUUGUGAAAUGCCGCAGCUCAACUGUGGCACUGCAGCGCGAACUGGUUGGCUUGAGUGCGCGGAAGGCAGGCGGAAUUUGUGGUGUAGCGGUGAAAUGCUUAGAUAUCACGAAGAACCCCGAUUGCGAAGGCAGCCUGCCGCAGCGUAACUGACGCUGAAGCUCGAAAGUGCGGGUAUCGAACAGGAUUAGAUACCCUGGUAGUCCGCACGGUAAACGAUGGAUGCCCGCUGUUCCGGUUUUGAAUUGGAGUGGCCAAGCGAAAGCGUUAAGCAUCCCACCUGGGGAGUACGCCGGCAACGGUGCAACUCAAAUGAAUUGACGGAAGG
rnacentral:rRNA from 1 species